GCCCUUGAUCGGCCGCCGGUGGCGCCUUAUGUUAAGGAUGCUGCUUCGGCAGCUAUGACAGUAGACGGUUGUGCGGAAUAGACGUUGCGGACCGGGAGGGCAGUACUCCCGCGCCUCCACCAAAUCUCCGUCGGAAGCCAGCUUGGCACCGACAUUGCGGGGGCGAAACAGGAUCGACGUGCGUGGUAAAGGCCAUCCUGCUGUUCGGCAUGGUUCCGCCGUUAUCGGGCCAUUCCUAUAGAUGCCAACGAUAACGUUGCGUCUGAUCUUCGUAUGGCGGCCUAAUAGCCUUAACGGGCUAUAAGUCGCUCACGUAGAACGCGGUUCGGAGGGGCACCGGGCAACAGAAGCCCCUCCACU
rnacentral:tmRNA from 1 species